rnacentral:rRNA from 1 species
GAUGAACGCUGGCGGCGUGCUUGAUACAUGCAAGUCGAACGGACCAACACGCCGCGAUUGGCCAACGGCUUUUAGCUUGCGGCCAAGAGCUGUGUUGGUUAGUGGCGAACGGGUGAGUAACACGUAGGUGACCUGCCCCGAAGUGGGGGAUAACUGCUGGAAACGGUAGCUAAUACCCCAUGUGGUCCGUCAUUCGGUUGGCGGAUUAAAGCUCCGGCGCUUCGGGAUGGGCCUGCGGCCGAUUAGCUAGUUGGUAGGGUAAUGGCCUACCAAGGCGAUGAUCGGUAGCUGGUCUGAGAGGAUGAUCAGCCACACUGGCACUGAGAUACGGGCCAGACUCCUACGGGAGGCAGCAGUAAGGGAUAUUGCGCAAUGGGGGAAACCCUGACGCAGCAACGCCGCGUGGGUGAUGAAGGUCUUCGGAUCGUAAAGCCCUUUUCUGGGGGA